GAUGUGACAACUAGUAUAACAUUUCGUACCUAGAUGUGUGUCAUUUACGUAAGACACUCCGGAGGGUUUGCGUCGAGUCUUGUAUACAUCUUCCCGAUCUAGUUUGAGCUGCCUCUACCUCUCUGUGCUUUGUUUCAGAGGAGAGCGGAAUGCCCAAACGGUUGACAGUGAACUCGCUAACCAUAACAGUAUUGAAGCAUAUCCAUUUAUUUCACUAACGUUCAACUCCACGGUCUCUUUGUUUAACGUUAGUUUUAUUUUUGCUUUACCAUAACUUGGUUACCUCUAUUUGAUCACGAUAAUCGAAAUGUUUACCUAGCUAGCAAUACCACAAUGUACUGUAAGUAAUAACAAGCGACGCACAGUUAGCUCGCUAGCAAACUUGGCUAGUAAGCGAGCUAAUGUUAGCUCGCUAACUAGCUAAUGACAGCUAGCUAACUAACGUUAUGCAAGAUAAUGCUAAUUGCACGCCAUCGUUGUUGGCCCUAUACAGUAGCUAAAUAUUAGCUUGCAAACAUUAGCUAGUUAGUUGUAACGUUAUAAAUAAGAAGCUAGCUAGCAAUGUAAAUGUACUGGCUAGCUAAUACUUAACCCUGGCGUUAGCUAAUAUAAAAACAAUUCUCCUUCACACAGUUGCCAUAACCCACGACUAGUCGUUAACAAUUUGCUUGUAUUUUGUGAUCAAAUGAGCACCAGACAGUCCAGAACAGGGAAAUAUUGCAUUUUGUUGGCUUGCUAGUUCAUGGAAACGUUCUGUUGGAAUAUAAUUCUGAAUCAUUAUUCAUUCUGGAACCAGUUGGUGAGCAUUACGCUAUAAGGAUUCCAUUGUGUCCUUUAUGCACAAAAGAACAACAACAGCGUCUGCCAUUUCAAACUCAGCCAACAGCUACACUUUGCUGCAAGGGAGGAGGCCUUGACGCAUUUGUUGUGCGUAAAAUAUCUGCACAUAGAUCAGAUGGUAUUUAUGCGGGUAGUUUGACAUAUUUGACCAUAAACAACUUGUUGGGAUGCAGACCAUAGCCUAAGGGAGGGAUGUAACACAUACAAUUGGGUCAGAUAGUUAUUUAAGUAUUCUGCACAAAAUCAAAAGUAGGACUUGACAGCUAUCCAUCAAGCUAGACGUCGUCAUGCUACUCCCAGCUAACAAGGAAUGUUUCCAAGAGACCAUUCCCUUAAUGUGAAAUGUAAUUUUCACAGAACGUGGUUACCAUGUUCUCAGAACUCAGUACAUUAAUGUUCUAUACACGUUUCAUGGGAACGUUGCAAGAACAUUCAUGUGUCCAGUUCUGUGGGUUAGGAGCAUAUUCCAUCAACUCCCAAACAUGCACGGAACGUGGCGCCAUGUUCUCAGAACAUAAAAUAUUAAAGGUCCCGAAUAGUGGUAAUCAGGGUUUUCAUUAAAUUUGAUAUUUGGAUGAAACCAGUUCAAAGUAGGGUGGCCCAAGUAUUAAAAAUUACUGUAGCUGGUACAUUAAUAAAGUUUGAUCAUAAAGUUACUGGUCCCCUCCCCCCAUGUCAAAUACUUGAAUUCAGGAGGCAGGCAUUACCAAGGAUUUUCAUCGGGCUUCUACCAACGUCACAUAAAGCCAGAAAUGUUAUACACCAAUGGUAGUGUCUUGUCAUUUUAAAUAUGUAUCGCCUUAAAACCUUCAUCACAUGUGCGCCUACGCAUUACUUUAACUUUUUUUUUUACAAAACUGUAAACUAGCUCAAGCAGAACAUACUACCAAAGAUUCUGGUCACCUUUAAUCUGUAGUGUGACUGUUAGCUAGCAAGCUACUUACAUCAUGCCGGCAAAAGCACACUGUGUUUGUUGUGACUGGAUGCCAUAGUGUAAAAUGUACCUUUUCAUUUCGGGUGGACAGGCUGCACUGAAAAUUACGGUCAUGUGUGUGCAGUGCACAUUUCGAGUAAAGUUGCUUUAUCAAUUGAGGAGAACAUUCGAUGGGUCUUCCCAGGAUGCUAAUCCUGAAGACGGAUGCUGUACCAUCAUUGACAGUGGAUCUUGCAAGCGCUGACCAUAAUGUAAGUAUCAGAGUUUAAUAAGUCUCACACGGUAGCCAACAUUUUGGGGGAUCGCGGGGCUAGCGUUAGAUAAUGCAACUGUGUCUUCUUUGACUUGUGAACAAUAUAUUUUCUGUAACACCUGAUAAUCACUAUAUGGGUUUUGUUCUUCCAUCUCCAUGCCCCCUACAUUAAGUCAGAGAACUGCCAGCACACAGCUGGCACGAGGGAAUGUUGUUCACAAAAGGAGUUGUGGUGUAUAUAUUAUUUGUAAUUUACUCCUGAAAAUCAUAUUUUACCAUUCCGUUGUGUGGGUUAUUGUCUUACAGUUGAUGUAGCUUGUGUCAUUGGAGCUAAUCAUGAUUUUUUUGGGGGGGGAUUAUUUAACUUUCCAUCUCCUUUUGUCUUUCCACUAUCAUCAAGCUGGAAGGAUAGACAUUUUACUCUGUCUGCACAGCUUCCCAGGCAACCACCACAGCAGGAAUGCUGUGAUACAAAAUCAGCAAAGAAGGGGGGAUAUGCUGUGAAGACAGACCCAACAUACUGCUACGUAGACAGGCUCCUGGAUCUCCUCUUCAACGAGGUCACCCAUGAUCCAGCGCCGUAUGUGGGGAAGCUGUGUAAGCUGUCCAUCCCGGGACCCCUGUCUGCCCCGUGUGAAAGGCCUGACAAGGAGGUGGCCAUAGCUGGAUUUGUCUCCAGCUUCAAUCUUGGGGGUGACUGAAGCCUGCUUGAUUGAAGCGGGAUACAUGGGUCCCGCUCCCCUCCCCCAUCAAUCUCUGUAGUUGGUUGUAUUUCUUAAAGCCUAAGUAAUUCACUUUUACGUGAAAUAAUAUCACAUUUUGUUACUUUGUAUUGUUUUUUUUUCAAGCUUUAGGAUGGGAGUGUAGUGUUACGAAUUUUACAAAUCAAUGUCCUGCAGACUGUAGGUGCCUAUAUUAGGCUUAUGGCUCAAUUCCUCUUUUUUUAUGUCAAAUGAUAUCUCACCAUUUAUUUCUCACCUUUAUUUAUAAUGAGUGUUCAUGUUGAUCAGUAUUUCGGCAAUAAUGGUCUAUUGUAAAAUAUCCAAUAAAUGUCUGAUCAAUGCA